rnacentral:rRNA from 1 species
GCGUGAGUGAUGAAGGCCUUAGGGUUGUAAAGCUCUUUCGACGGGGACGAUGAUGACGGUACCCGUAGAAGAAGCCCCGGCUAACUUCGUGCCAGCAGCCGCGGUAAUACGAAGGGGGCUAGCGUUGUCCGGAAUUACUGGGCGUAAAGCGCGCGUAGGCGGCUACACAAGUCGGGCGUGAAAGCCCGGGGCUCAACCCCGGAAAUGCGCCCGAGACUGUGUGGCUUGAGACCGGGAGAGGAGAGUGGAAUUCCCAGUGUAGAGGUGAAAUUCGU